rnacentral:rRNA from 1 species
UACAGAGGAGCCAAGCGUUGUCCGGAUUGACUGGGCGUAAAGCGCACGCAGGCGGCCGCGCGCGUGGGGUGUGAAAUCUGGCCGCUUAACGGCCAGGCGCCAUCCCAUACGGCGCGGCUGGAGCCAUGCAGAGGGCGGUGGAAUUGCCGGUGUAGUGGUGAAAUGCGUAGAGAUCGGCAGGAACACCCAGGGGGAAACCAGCCGCCUGGGCAUGCGCUGACGGCUGAGGUGCGAGAGCGGUGGGGAGCGAACCGG